rnacentral:rRNA from 1 species
GAUGAACGCUAGCGGCAGGCCUAACACAUGCAAGUCGAGGGGUAGGGGGUGCUUGCACCCCUGAGACCGGCGCACGGGUGCGGAACGCGUAUGGAACCUGCCCCUGUCAGGGGAAUAGCC